GUCUCAGUAGUGCAUUGUAUAGCGCGUUGGACUUCUAAUCCAAAGGUCGUGCGUUCGAAUUCUACCUGGGACG